rnacentral:rRNA from 1 species
UAGGGAAUCUUCGGCAAUGGACGGAAGUCUGACCGAGCAACGCCGCGUGAGUGAAGAAGGUUUUCGGAUCGUAAAGCUCUGUUGUAAGAGAAGAACGAGUGUGAGAGUGGAAAGUUCACACUGUGACGGUAUCUUACCAGAAAGGGACGGCUAACUACGUGCCAGCAGCCGCAGUAAUACGUAGGUCCCGAGCGUUGUCCGGAUUUAUUGGGCGUAAAGCGAGCGCAGGCGGUUAGAUAAGUCUGAAGUUAAAGGCUGUGGCUUAACCAUAGUACGCUUUGGAAACUGUUUAACUUGAGUGCAAGAGGGGAGAGUGGAAUUCCAUGUGUAGCGGUGAAAUGCGUAGAUAUAUGGAGGAACACCGGUGGCGAAAGCGGCUCUCUGGCUUGUAACUGACGCUGAGGCUCGAAAGCGUGGGGAGCAAACAGGAUUAGAUACCCUGGUAGUCCACGCCGUAAACGAUGAGUGCUAGGUGUUAGACCCUUUCCGGGGUUUAGUGCCGCAGCUAACGCAUUAAGCACUCCGCCUGGGGAGUACGACCGCAAGGUUG